UAAAAAACUCUGUCUUCCUCAAUCUUUGUUUCUUUAGAGUAACAGUAAAUCCUCAUUUAAUGUCUGUCCAAAAGGAGCAUGAAAAGUAAAGAAGGAAGGAUGGAAAGAAAGAAAAAGAAAGAAAGAAGGAAGAACAGAAGGAAGGUCAAUCAUGAAUAGCAUCAGGGUUAUUAUGGUCCAAUGGAGCCAGGCAUGGGACAGCCAAAUAUCACUCAAAAGUACAGGUUGGAAAUCAGAGCCCAGGGUCCUAUCACAUAGAAAAAGAAAAACAUCCAUUCAUGAGAGUCCAGGGAUACAUGAAAAUAAAGCAAAUGGGGAAAGACCCAUUCACAUUCCUCCAAAAGAUCUGCUGUUCCUUGGAAUCAUGUUCCUGGCUCCUGGUAGUCCCCGACUUUACCUGUCUGUUCCAGGAACUUGCUUUAUGGCCAUUUGUUCUGGUGAUUAG
rnacentral:lncRNA from 1 species